rnacentral:rRNA from 1 species
CCCGCUCAGAAACUUAAAGGAAUUGACGGGGGCCCGCACAAGCGGUGGAGCAUGUGGUUUAAUUCGACGCAACGCGAAGAACCUUACCAGCCCUUGACAUGGGAAGUAUGGGCCGCAGAGACGCGGUCCUUCAGUUCGGCUGGCUUCCACACAGGUGCUGCGUGGCUGUCGUCAGCUCGUGUCGUGAGAUGUUGGGUUAAGUCCCGCAACGAGCGCAACCCUCGUCUCCAGUUGCCAUCGGGUAAAGCCGGGCACUUUGGAGAAACUGCCGGUGACAAGCCGGAGGAAGGUGGGGAUGACGUCAAGUCCUCAUGGCCCUUACGGGCUGGGCUACACACGUGCUACAAUGGCGGUGACAGAGGGCAGCGAAGGGGCGACCUGGAGCUAAUCCUCAAAAGCCGUCUCAGUUCGGAUUGCACUCUGCAACUCGAGUGCAUGAAGGUGGAAUCGCUAGUAAUCGCGGAUCAGCAUGCCGCGGUGAAUACGUUCCCGGGCCUU